UACAGAGGGUGCAAGCGUUAAUCGGAGUUACUGGGCGUAAAGGGCGCGUAGGCGGUUAUUUAAGUGAGAUGUGAAAUCCCUGGGCUUAACCUAGGAACUGCAUCUCAUACUGGAUGACUAGAGUAUUGUAGAGGGUAGUGGAAUUUCCGGUGUAGCGGUGAAAUGCGUAGAGAUCGGAAGGAACACCAGUGGCGAAGGCGGCUACCUGGACAAAUACUGACGCUGAGGCGCGAGAGCGUGGGGAGCAAAAAGG
rnacentral:rRNA from 1 species